CAGCUGCUUUUUGCUGGCUGAGAGAAUGGCUGCUUCUUGAAAACACUGAAGUGUUGGAUUUAGAAGUAUUGGAAGACACAAGAUUUACCCACCAGGGAAGAAUGGCAGAUGAAGUUGAUGGACUAUAUGGAACUGGUGGAAAUGACUGGCAGAAUCCUAGACCAGGGAGAGGAGUCGGUGGAAGAAGAUUGGAAAAAGUUUAAAGACUAUUUACAGAAAUAUUGUAAAAUUAAUGAAUGUUAGAAGAACGUUGGAAUGAAGUGAUAUGGCUUCAGUAGAAAGGUUAUAAGGAAUUAAGUACAAAUAGAUUAAUAGAGUAUUAAUGGAAAAAUAAGGUUAAAAUGUGUUAAGAUAAUUAUAGGAUAGAAAACAGGGGAAGAUGGAAAGGAAUUGCUGAAAUAAUUAAUAUAAGUGGAAUACAAAAAGGGAGGUGUGAGGAGGUCAUGGAAAUAUGUGAAAGAAAGAUAAGAUAUUGAAAUUUCUUUUUCUUUUCCCCCCUCUCUUUUUCUUUUUGAUGUGUUUUUAAAUUGUUUUUGUUUUGUCUUGUUAGUUUUUAGUGUUAUGUAGUGUCUUUGUAUUGUAAUGUAUUGUUUUUUCUUUGUUUUUUUUGUGUAAGUGUUUAAAUUGUUGCAAAAGUAAUAAAUAUUAUUUU